rnacentral:lncRNA from 1 species
GGAAUAUUUUGCUCCAGUUACAGGACUGAUUGCUCUGGAGAAGUUUAAGUCUAGGUUCCUACUUCAACAGUACUGUGUGCAAGCUGAUUGCUAUUGGCACAGUGAAGUUGGAUCCCAUGCUGCAGUCUCAAGUGUUACUUAUUUUGCAGAAUUAUUAAUGUCAUUAGUAAUGUAAUUAAUGCAACAUGUGAAUAAUGGUUCGUUUUAGAUUCAGUUCUGCUGCCUCAUACACAUGGAUGGUGACAAAGUGAAACAAGCAAUCUAGUUGGGGAGAGCUGCAGCUUUGGUAUUAAAGAGUUAUGUUGAAACGGAUUGGUCAAGUGCCUGAAUCAGAUUGCCAUCUGGAACAUAAGCAAGCAGUGUCCAGAUUUCACCAUGGUGACAGCCAUGAACUGCCCUGAAGACUUUGUUUCACAUUGAAGAAAGGACUCCAUUCAUAAGAGAACCACUUGCAUCUUCUCCCACUUUCCUUAACAAGAAACAGGAACCUGUUAAAUUUAAAGAUUGUGAAAGUUACAGAUGUGCAUACAUCCUAAAAUGUUUAUGAGUAAUUAUAUGACAAGCAGUCAUCAAAUAGUUUCAUUGUAGGCCAGAUGAUAGUCAUCUGCGGUAAGCCACCAAAAAGACAAAAAGGGAAGUGGGUAAGGAGAGCUGUUAGCAUUCUUUAAAGCAUUUAGCUAAAUGAAUAGACAAACUGGAAAAAGACAGUUUAAUUUUUAUCAUUAUGUUGUCCCACAUGUAAUGCAUAUGUACAUUCUUUUGAUU